CCCUUAGAUGUUCUGGGCCGCACGCGCGCUACACUGACUGCUCCAACAAGUUACCUGGGCUGACAAGCAUCCGGGAAAUCUUGCAAAGGCAGUCGUGAUGGGGAUAGAUUCUUGUAAUUUUUGAUCUUCAACGAGGAAUUCCUAGUAAACGCAAGUCAUCAGCUUGCAUUGAUUACGUCCCUGCCCUUUGUACACACCGCCCGCCGCAUCUACCGAUUGAAUGGAGAGGCAAAAUCUUCGGACCGUGACGCUUGGGAGUCAAAUCUCGGGCUGUCGUGGGAAGUGGAUUAAACCUUUCUAUUUAGAGGAAGGUAAAGUCGUAACA
rnacentral:rRNA from 1 species